rnacentral:rRNA from 1 species
UACGUAGGGGGCAAGCGUUGUUCGGAAUUACUGGGUGUAAAGGGCGCGUAGGCGGCAAUUCAAGUCAUCUGUGAAAUCUCCGGGCUUAACUCGGAACGGUCAGGUGAUACUGCUUUGCUAGAGUGCAGAAGGGGCAAUCGGAAUUCUUGGUGUAGCGGUGAAAUGCGUAGAUAUCAAGAGGAACACCUGAGGUGAAGACGGGUUGCUGGGCUGACACUGACGCUGAGGCGCGAAAGCUAGGGGAGCGAACGGG